UAUCAAAAAGGUAAAAUAACCGCAAGGCUUAAGAGGAGGGGUGAGAAAAAGUCGUAUAAAAUGCGAGAGAAAAGUCUAGAGGGAUCAGUCGAGCGAGUACCUCCAACACGGUAACAGCUGCAGUGCUCUAUUUGCCAUCAGCUGCAUUCUUCAUCGUAUUAUCAGUUCUCAAUCAUGGUCGUACAAAAGGAUAAGGAAAAGGCGAAAUAAGCAGCCGAGUGAGCAUCUCCGACACGGUAACAGCAACUGAAAUGCACCAUUUGUCACCAACUGCAUUCUUCGUCGAAUUGCUAGUUUAAAUCAUGGUUAACUAUGGCGCCAUGCUGCUGUUGGGUAAUGCAUCGUUGAUGGCUGGUUCAGCCACUGCCCACUGGUGUGCCGACGUCUCCUGGUAAGGUGGAUAACAAAUUGAAACGCCGACACCUUUGCUACACAACAUACGACACGACCAGUUGCUACACCGUGCCCCUCUAGUACUGCACCAAGGCUCCAGAAUAUUAUAUCACAACUUAUGCUGCCCUGAGCUACUACACCGAAUCCUUGACGUAUUAUUCUUCCUCGAGCUACACUACUAAAGGGUCGAGUACUACACCGAUGCUUCGAAGUACUACACCACCAAGGCCCCGUAGUACUACACCACUACAUAUCAUGGUCGUAUGAAAGGAGAGAAAAGGCGAAAGAAUUCAGCAGCCGAUUUAGGAUCUCCGUUACGUCAACAGGAACUGCCGUGUACCAUUUUUCCUUCAACUUCAUUCUUCGUCGUAUCACAUUUAAAAAAAGGUAAA